rnacentral:misc_RNA from 1 species
GUGAAUCAUCAAAUCUUUGAACGCAAAUUGCACUCUCUGGUAUUCCGGAGAGUAUGCCUGUUUGAGGGUCAGUUUAAAUAAAAAUUGGUGUGGUUGCUGCCUUUCGUGGUGAUGAACCGGAUUUUGGUGGUCUUGCCUUCGGCUCAGUUACCUAAAAUUUUGCAUGAUCUUUUUGUACGUAUUUUAAUGAUUUUAAGUCCGCUUGCGAUGUUGUCUACC